UACGUAGGGGGCGAGCGUUGUCCGGAUUCAUUGGGCGUAAAGAGCUCGUAGGCGGUUCGACAAGUCGGGUGUGAAAACUCCGGGCUCAACCCGGAGACGCCACCCGAUACUGUCGUGACUGGAGUCCGGUAGGGGAGUGGGGAAUUCCUGGUGUAGCGGUGAAAUGCGCAGAUAUCAGGAGGAACACCGGUGGCGAAGGCGCCACUCUGGGGCCGGUACUGACGCUGAGGAGCGAAAGCGUGGGGUAGCAAACAGGG
rnacentral:rRNA from 1 species